GACGAACGCUGGCGGCGUGCCUAAUACAUGCAAGUCGACCUUAGUGGCGAACUGGUGAGUAACCCGUGGGUAACCUGCCCAUCAGACGGGGAUAACACUUGGAAACAGCUGCUAAUAACGCAUACUUCUUGAUGGACCCGCGGUGCAUUGGCGAGUGGGUGAGGUAACGGCUCUCCAAGGCCACGAUACAUAGCCGACCUGAGAGGUUGAGCGGCCACAUUGGGACUUAGACACGGCCCAAACUCCUACGGGAGGCAGCAGUAGGGAAUCUUCGGCAAUGGACGAAAGUCUGACCGAGCAACGCCGCGGGAGUGAAGAAGGUUUUCGGAUCGUAAAACUCUGUUGUUAGAGAAGCGGUAUCUAAAGAGAAAGCCACGGCUAACUACGUGCCAGCAGCCGCGGUAAGAG
rnacentral:rRNA from 1 species